rnacentral:rRNA from 1 species
GCCGGAGCUUCUUCUGCGGGUACUGUCAUUAUCAUCCCCGCUGAAAGAGUUUUACAACCCUAAGGCCUUCAUCACUCACGCGGCAUCGCUGGAUCAGGGUUGCCCCCAUUGUCCAAUAUUCCCC